rnacentral:rRNA from 1 species
UACGUAGGUCCCGAGCGCUGUCCGGAUUUAUUGGGCGUAAAGCGAGCGCAGGUGGUUUAUUAAGUCUGGUGUAAAAGGCAGUGGCUCAACCAUUGUAUGCAUUGGAAACUGGUAGCCUUGAGUGCAGGAGAGGAGAGUGGAAUUCCAUGUGUAGCGGUGAAAUGCGUAGAUAUAUGGAGGAACACCGGUGGCGAAAGCGGCUCUCUGGCCUGUAACUGACACUGAGGCUCGAAAGCGUGGGGAGCAAACAGG